rnacentral:rRNA from 1 species
AGAGCGAACGCUGGCGGCAGGCUUAACACAUGCAAGUCGAGCGCUCGUAGCAAUACGGGAGCGGCAGACGGGAGAGUAACACGUGGGAACGUACCCUUCGGUUCGGAAUAACCCAGGGAAACUUGGGCUAAUACCGGAUACGUCCGUAAGGAGAAAGAUUUAUCGCCGAGGGAUCGGCCCGCGUCCGAUUAGCUAGUUGGUGGGGUAAUGGCCCACCAAGGCGACGAUCGGUAGCUGGUCUGAGAGGAUGAUCAGCCUCACUGGGACUGAGACACGGCCCAGACUCCUACGGGAGGCAGCAGUGGGGAAUAUUGGACAAUGGGCGCAAGCCUGAUCCAGCCAUGCCGCGUGGUGAUGAAGGCCUUAGGGUUGUAAAGCCCUUUCGGCGGGAAGAUAAUGACGGUACCGCAGAAGAGCCCGGCUAACUUCGCGCCAGCGAGCCGC